rnacentral:misc_RNA from 1 species
GAUGAAGAACGUAGCGAAAUGCGAUAAGUAAUGUGAAUUGCAGAAUUCAGUGAAUCAUCGAAUCUUUGAACGCACAUUGCGCCCGCCAGUAUUCUGGCGGGCAUGCCUGUUCGAGCGUCAUUUCAACCAUCAAGCCCCAGGCUCGUGUUGGGGACCUGCGGCUGCCGCAGGCCCUGAAAACCAGUGGCGGGCUCGCUGUCACACCGGGCGUAGUAGAUUUUAUCUCGCUCAGGGCGUGCUGCGGGUUCCGGCCGUUAAAAAGCCUUUUUUACCCAAGGUUGACCUCGGAUCAGGUAGGAAGACCCGCUGAACUUAAGCAUAUCAAUAAGCGGAGGA